GGAUGAAACCUGUAACCCGGAUUCAGGCUCCGACGACGGGUGAUGCGGAAAGAGUUGCCGGCUCAGU
rnacentral:snoRNA from 1 species